CCUACGGGAGGCAGCAGUGAGGAAUAUUGGUCAAUGGCCGGAAGGCUGAACCAGCCAAGCCGCGUGAAGGACGAAGGUGCCAAGCAUUGUAAACUUCUUUUGUCAAGGGACAAAAUCAGGCUCGAGAGCCCGACCGAGGGUACUUGAAGAAAAAGCAUCGGCUAACUCCGUGCCAGCAGCCGCGGUAAUACGGAAGGUCCGGGCGUUAUCCGGAUUUAUUGGGUUUAAAGGGAGCGUAGGCCGCAUGUCAAGCGUGCUGUGAAAUGUCCGGGCUCAACCCGGGCCUUGCAGCGCGAACUGGCGUGCUUGAGUCCGCGGAAAGCAGGCGGAAUUCGUCGUGUAGCGGUGAAAUGCUUAGAUAUGACGAAGAACCCCGAUUGCGAAGGCAGCGUACCGGCUCCACACUGACGCUGAGGCACGAAAGCGUGGGUAUCGAACAGGAUUAGAUACCCGUGUAGUC
rnacentral:rRNA from 1 species